UNGGAAUUACUGGGCGUAAAGCGGGCGCAGACGGUUACUUNAGCAGGAUGUGAAAUCCCCGGGCUCAACCUGGGAACUGCGUUNUGAACUGAGUGACUAGAGUGUGUCAGAGGGAGGUAGAAUUCCACGUGUAGCAGUGAAAUGCGUAGAGAUGUGGAGGAAUACCGAUGGCGAAGGCAGCCUCCUGGGAUAACACUGACGUUCAUGCCCGAAAGCGUGGGUAGCAAACAGGAUUAAAUACCCUGGUAGUCCACGCCCUAAACGAUGUCGAUUAGCUGUUGGGCAGCAUGACUGCUUAGUAGCGAAGCUAACGCGUGAAAUCGACCGCCUGGGGAGUACGGUCGCAAGAUUAAAACUCAAAGGAAUUGACGGGGACCCGCACAAGCGGUGGAUGAUGUGGAUUAAUUCGAUGCAACGCGAAGAACCUUACCUGGUCUUGACAUGUACGGAACCCUCCAGAGACGGAGGGGUGCCUUCGGGAGCCGUAACACAGGUGCUGCAUGGCUGUCGUCAGCUCGUGUCGUGAGAUGUUGGGUUAAGUCCCGCAACGAGCGCAACCCUUGUCAUUAGUUGCCAUCAUUAAGUUGGGCACUCUAAUGAGACUGCCGGUGACAAGCCGGAGGAAGGUGGGGAUGACGUCAAGUCCUCAUGGCCCUUAUGACCAGGGCUUCACACGUCAUACAAUGGUCGGUACAGAGGGUAGCCAAGCCGCGAGGUGGAGCCAAUCUCACAAAACCGAUCGUAGUCCGGAUUGCACUCUGCAACUCGAGUGCAUGAAGUCGGAAUCGCUAGUAAUCGCAGGUCAGCAUACUGCGGUGAAUACGUUCCCGGGUCUUGUACACACCGCCCGUCACACCAUGGGAGUGGGGGAUACCAGAAGUAGGUAGGGUAACCGCAAGGAGCCC
rnacentral:rRNA from 1 species